rnacentral:rRNA from 1 species
GAUUUAUUUAAACGGCCGCGGUAUUCUAACCGUGCAAAGGUAGCGUAAUCACUUGUCUUCUAAAUAAAGACCAGUAUGAACGGCUAAAUGAGGACAAACCUGUCUCUUGCAACCAAUCAGUGAAACUGAUCUUCCGGUCCAAAAGCCGGAAUACUCCCAUAAGACGAGAAGACCCUGUGGAGCUUCAAACAAACUACUCUGUAGCACGCCAGCGCCACAGCCAGUAGUAAAUGUUUUGAGUUGGGGCGACUUCGGAAACAAAAAAAACUUCCGAGCACAGAACCACCAGUUCUUACCAAGACCAACAAGUCAAAGCUUAAGCACGACCCAGUAACACUGACCAACGAACCAAGUUACCCCAGGGAUAACAGCGCCAUCUUCUUCAAGAGUCCAUAUCGACAAGAAGGUUUACGACCUCGAUGUUGGAUCAGGACACCCUAAUGGUGCAGCCGC